GAUUGCUGUAUUCACCACAUCCGUGUUCAGUUCGUGUGGCCGCUAAGGAAUCCGGGGCGGCGGAACUUCCUGGUGCAGCGGCUUGGCGACGCGGCGUCUGGAAACCCCGAUGGCCCAUCUGCGGUGAGUCGGUUCUUCCUUUUUAUGCGGUACCUUGGGGAUCCGUUAGACGUCGUAGGAGCGUGGGAAAGAAGCGGACUUGGGGCCGGUGCUCCGACGAAGGACGGCGGUGGCGACCACUGGAUGGCCUUGGUCGGCUAGAGCGCCGGUUAGCCGGCAGGAGAGAGGGAGCCGAGUAUGGCUCGGUGUCUAGGCCUGGGCAGCGAAAGGUUGAAGACGCAGGGCAUCCGUAGAUUAAGAAAUUGACGGCCGAGAUCCGUGCGCAGGCAAACGAUUCCUGGUAAUGAUCUUGACCGUUGAUCUCAUACGAACGUCUCAUAUUAGAAUUAAAGGUAGCGCUUCGCGCGGGGAUCAGAUCCAUUGGAUCGUGAUCGGAUGGUCUUGGGUUGAUCACGUAUAUUUAGAAUAUGUGCCGUAGAUGCGGGAUCCGACGGCCAUCGUGGCAUACCGCUUUGGGAAAAAUGCGAUCUAAUCCUGGCCUCUAGAUCUGAUCUGAACGGCCCACAUCAACACAUACCCCUUCGUGACUGCAGUUUUGCAUGUGAACCCUCAGCCUUUACGUAAAUAGAACCCGCAGUACACCUUGUAAGUCGUCUGUGUCUGUGGAAUCUUGUGCCAGACCCCCUGCCUGUUUUGGUAAUUGAGGCCCGGUCCAGAAAACUCGAAAAACAGAGAAAAUAAAAUAGACAUAGAUUUUUAAUGUAUAAAUAAUUGCUAGAAACUUGUUUAAUUUGUAGAAAAUUCAUAUGAACUCCAAAUCGGUCCAUUCCAGUUCCUAAAUUUCUGUAAUAUUAUUGUUUAUCCAUUAGUACCACUGUUUUGGCAUGAAAGACAUACUAAAAUUUAUGUCUUACUUAAUUUUGUAUUAAAUACAUAAAACCUUGGGAAAUUCAUAACUUAAAAUUUAUAACUCCAAAUUUAAUGAUUCCAGUUCCUAUGAUCUUAUUUUAAUGUCUAGAUUAUUAUUGUGUAUUUUAUUUACAUGUUUGGUGUGAUGUAAAGUUUUGCUAUACUAUGUACGUAUUGUGUUGAUGCGAGUAGACGAGCAAGCUACUGUGGAUCCUGAUUUUCAACAGGUAGAAGUAGCUAAGCAGAAGCUCAUUGAAGGCAAGUUGUGCCCUUGAUGACUUCUUUUUACCCAGUCAUGUUCUUAUUAAUCAUAAUGAUCUGCAUAGGUUAAUUUUGAUGGGACCCAAUAGGUUACCCUAGAUUUUGACUAUCUUUAUACCUUGUUUCACCACAGGUUUUACUACUAAAUUUUUGGGUAGUACAUGCUAUUGCUUUAUGUGGCUUUGGGUAUAGAGAUAUUCAUCACUCAUUGUUAUACUUUUUAUUAUCUGUUUAUUAUUUACUGUUCAUGAUAAGAUCAUUAUGUUAAUGGGAACAUAGAGAACCACCCGGAAAAACAGCGCUACCACAAGGGUUUAAUGGGACACCCUUGGCUGAUUAACUAGGAAAGCUAGUGGAUGACUAGCUUACCUGAAAGGGGCAAGGGCAGUAGGGGAGUGGUCAGUGUAGGGAGGUCCUUGGGUUGAUUUUGCUGCAAUGGCGAUCAAGCGAGGGAUUCCUGCACUGGAGCUUCCUAUAAACUGUAGCGGGUUUUCUGAAACUAGUGUGACUUUGUAAAGGCCUCGUAGUGGUACCCUGCCUCAAUUCCAUGGUAGAGGUGUAUGGGGUCUGAUCAACUCCGUGGCAAAUGGGUAACACGACUUGUGGGUAAAGAUGCGCAACCUCUGUAGAGUGUAAAACUGGUAUACUAGCCAUGCUCAUGGUCAUGAGCGGCUCGGACACUCACAUGAUUAAUUUAUGGAACUUAAACUUAAUUUGUCAUUUCAUUGCAUUGGGAAUUAUUUUAUUAUCACUUUUACUUAUUAUUACUAUGGUUUGGUAUUUACUUGCACGUAGUAACUGCUAAUAAAAUUUUGACCAACUUAUAAAAGCAAUGCUCAGUUUCAACCAUUACUUUGUUGAUUAGCCUUACACUUCACAUGAACUCCCACCUUUGGUGAGUUCAUGCACAUUAUUUCCCCACAACUUGUUGAGCGAUGAACAUGUGUGAGCUCACUCUUGCUGUCUCACACCCCCCACAGGAGAAGAACAGGUGGUCGAAGAGGAGCCGCCUAACACUGAGGCUUUCGACUUGAUCUAGGUGGCGUCUCCCAGUCAGCUUUGUGGCGACAGGGAAUAUUAUUUAGUUCACUUUAUUUUAUCAUUUAUUUUUGUAAGACUUCCGCUAUGUAAUAAGUACAUUUAUGAUAUUUAUG
rnacentral:lncRNA from 1 species